rnacentral:rRNA from 1 species
UCGCAUCGAUGAAGAACGCAGCGAAAUGCGAUAAGUAAUGUGAAUUGCAGAAUUCAGUGAAUCAUCGAAUCUUUGAACGCACCUUGCGCUCCUUGGUAUUCCGAGGAGCAUGCCUGUUUGAGUGUCAGUAAUUUCUCAACCCCUCUGGCUUUUUGUUAGCUGGUUGGGGCUUGGAUAUGGAGGUGUGUCGGCCUUUAUUGG